rnacentral:tRNA from 1 species
GCCGAGGUGGUGGAAUGGCUUACACGUCGGUCUCAAAAACCGAUGAGCGCAAGCUCGUGAGGGUUCAACUCCCUCCCUCGGCACCA